GACGAACGCUGGCGGCGUGCUUAACACAUGCAAGUCGAACGGUAAGGCUCCAGCUUGCUGGGGUACACGAGUGGCGAACGGGUGAGUAACACGUGGGUGACCUGCCCUGCACUUCGGGAUAAGCCUGGGAAACUGGGUCUAAUACCGGAUAGGGCCAUGGUGUGGAUACUGUGGUGGAAAGUUUUUUCGGUGUGGGGUGGGCCCGCGGCCUAUCAGCUUGUUGGUGGGGUAAUGGCCUACCAAGGCGGCGACGGGUAGCCGGCCUGAGAGGGUGGACGGCCACAUUGGGACUGAGACACGGCCCAGACUCCUACGGGAGGCAGCAGUGGGGAAUAUUGCACAAUGGGCGGAAGCCUGAUGCAGCGACGCCGCGUGGGGGAUGACGGCCUUCGGGUUGUAAACUCCUUUCACCAUCGACGAAGGGUUUCUGACGGUAGAUGGAGAAGAAGCACCGGCUAACUACGUGCCAGCAGCCGCGGUAAUACGUAGGGUGCGAGCGUUGUCCGGAAUUACUGGGCGUAAAGAGCUCGUAGGUGGUUUGUCGCGUCGUCUGUGAAAUUCCGGGGCUUAACUCCGGGCGUGCAGGCGAUACGGGCAUAACUUGAGUACUGUAGGGGAGACUGGAAUUCCUGGUGUAGCGGUGAAAUGCGCAGAUAUCAGGAGGAACACCGGUGGCGAAGGCGGGUCUCUGGGCAGUAACUGACGCUGAGGAGCGAAAGCAUGGGGAGCGAACAGGAUUAGAUACCCUGGUAGUCCAUGCCGUAAACGGUGGGCGCUAGGUGUGGGUUUCCUUCCACGGGAUCCGUGCCGUAGCUAACGCAUUAAGCGCCCCGCCUGGGGAGUACGGCCGCAAGGCUAAAACUCAAAGGAAUUGACGGGGGCCCGCACAAGCGGCGGAGCAUGUGGAUUAAUUCGAUGCAACGCGAAGAACCUUACCUGGGCUUGACAUAUACAGGAUCGCGCCAGAGAUGGUGUUUCCCUUGUGGCUUGUAUACAGGUGGUGCAUGGUUGUCGUCAGCUCGUGUCGUGAGAUGUUGGGUUAAGUCCCGCAACGAGCGCAACCCUUGUCUUAUGUUGCCAGCACGUUGUGGUGGGGACUCGUAAGAGACUGCCGGGGUUAACUCGGAGGAAGGUGGGGAUGACGUCAAAUCAUCAUGCCCCUUAUGUCCAGGGCUUCACACAUGCUACAAUGGUCGGUACAGUGGGUUGCCAGUCCGUGAGGGCGAGCUAAUCCCGUAAAGCCGGUCUCAGUUCGGAUCGGGGUCUGCAACUCGACCCCGUGAAGUCGGAGUCGCUAGUAAUCGCAGAUCAGCAACGCUGCGGUGAAUACGUUCCCGGGCCU
rnacentral:rRNA from 1 species